UAAAAAAAAGAAAACCUGCUUUCGCAGGUCCCUUCUAUAUUUAGUCUACACUAAACAGAAGGUAAAGGGAGAGGAGAAACCGGAGGAAGAACUUAUGGGGAAAAGUAAGUCUUCUUC
rnacentral:ncRNA from 1 species